GGUUCACAUCGUUAGAGCUUGGAGUUGAGGCCACUGACUGGCUGAUGAGCUCUCAAGUGUAGGUAGAGUGCUACAUGAGGAGUGGAGCAAGAUUUUUGCUACCACCACAAGGAUCUCUGGCCUGAUGAGUGGAGUUUGAUAGUAAUCCUUGCUACAAGU
ensembl:snoRNA SNORA62 Small nucleolar RNA SNORA62/SNORA6 family